AUAUUCUACAACAGGCAUUAGAUAGCCUUGGACUUGACUUACCAGCAGCUCUUUCCUCAGUCUCCGGCCUACCCGUCUGCCUCUUCAUGUCGUGAACACUCCAAGCCUUUAUUAUUAUACCACAGUGCUCACACACAUACCCCACCGUCAUCAUCAUACCACACCACACCAGUUGGCCGUGCUCCUGUGAAGAACCCUGCUUAGUACAAGUCAUGUCCAGUGCCUCAGACCAUUUCCUGUUGCCUGACAAUCAAGAUGUAGGACUUCUCAGCUGCAGAGCCAUGCCGCCUGCCUGUCACCAUAUCCUACCAUGAUGACAUUCUACAAAGCAACCCGACAUUCCCGAUGCCACUCAGCUCUGCUAAACAAAGUUCCUGAUGGAGGAACCUGGUAUCUGACUACAUUGUCUUCACCAGCACUGCCAGCAGCUCAGUGCUCACAGGAGCUGUCACAUAAAAAAUGAGCUACACAGAAAAUGAACUGCUUUCCCUUCAGCUACGGGACCUCAACGGCCUCAAGACAUUCUUUUCUGGUCCAGGAAAGGAUGCUUGUCACAUCGGGAAGCUUGUCACACCAGGAAGCUGUGAUUUAGAGAAUGACACAGGUCUUCAGAAAGUUGUUCCUUGAUGACUUCAGUGGAUGUCUGACCCUCCCCCACUGGAAGUUGUCACCACUGAGAUCUUUCAUUUCAAGAGAUGCUGGUUCAUCUAUCUUAAGUGCUGAAUCCAACUAGGAGCUACAAGACAGUUUGAAUCGGACACUGAGGGAGUUAGCUGAUCAAGUCAGAGGUCCACGGAUCUUCCCAUCUCCACCCUCCAGUGCUGCAGUAACAGAUGCGCACCUCCACCUUCCAGUGCUGCAGUUACAGAUGCGCACCUCCACCCUCCAAUGAUACAGUUACAGAUGUGCACCUCCACCCUCCAAUGAUACAGUUACAGAUGUGCACCUCCACCCUCCAAUGAUACAGUUACAGAUGCGCACCUCCACCCUCCAGUGCUGCAGUUACAGAUGCACACCUCCACCCUCCAGUGCUGCAGUUACAGAUGCACACCUCCACCCUCCAGUGCUGCAGUUACAGAUGUGCACCUCCACCCUCCAAUGAUACAGUUACAGAUGUGCACCUCCACCCUCCAAUGCUGCA